GGUUAAGCGACUAAGCGUACACGGUGGAUGCCCUGGCAGUCAGAGGCGAUGAAGGACGUGCUAAUCUGCGAUAAGCGUCGGUAAGGUGAUAUGAACCGUUAUAACCGGCGAUUUCCGAAUGGGGAAACCCAGUGUGUUUCGACACACUAUCAUUAACUGAAUCCAUAGGUUAAUGAGGCGAACCGGGGGAACUGAAACAUCUAAGUACCCCGAGGAAAAGAAAUCAACCGAGAUUCCCCCAGUAGCGGCGAGCGAACGGGGAGCAGCCCAGAGCCUGAAUCAGUGUGUGUGUUAGUGGAAGCGUCUGGAAAGGCGCGCGAUACAGGGUGACAGCCCCGUACACAAAAAUGCACAUGCUGUGAGCUCGAUGAGUAGGGCGGGACACGUGGUAUCCUGUCUGAAUAUGGGGGGACCAUCCUCCAAGGCUAAAUACUCCUGACUGACCGAUAGUGAACCAGUACCGUGAGGGAAAGGCGAAAAGAACCCCGGCGAGGGGAGUGAAAAAGAACCUGAAACCGUGUACGUACAAGCAGUGGGAGCACGCUUAGGCGUGUGACUGCGUACCUUUUGUAUAAUGGGUCAGCGACUUAUAUUCUGUAGCAAGGUUAACCGAAUAGGGGAGCCGAAGGGAAACCGAGUCUUAACUGGGCGUUAAGUUGCAGGGUAUAGACCCGAAACCCGGUGAUCUAGCCAUGGGCAGGUUGAAGGUUGGGUAACACUAACUGGAGGACCGAACCGACUAAUGUUGAAAAAUUAGCGGAUGACUUGUGGCUGGGGGUGAAAGGCCAAUCAAACCGGGAGAUAGCUGGUUCUCCCCGAAAGCUAUUUAGGUAGCGCCUCGUGAAUUCAUCUCCGGGGGUAGAGCACUGUUUCGGCAAGGGGGUCAUCCCGACUUACCAACCCGAUGCAAACUGCGAAUACCGGAGAAUGUUAUCACGGGAGACACACGGCGGGUGCUAACGUCCGUCGUGAAGAGGGAAACAACCCAGACCGCCAGCUAAGGUCCCAAAGUCAUGGUUAAGUGGGAAACGAUGUGGGAAGGCCCAGACAGCCAGGAUGUUGGCUUAGAAGCAGCCAUCAUUUAAAGAAAGCGUAAUAGCUCACUGGUCGAGUCGGCCUGCGCGGAAGAUGUAACGGGGCUAAACCAUGCACCGAAGCUGCGGCAGCGACGCUUAUGCGUUGUUGGGUAGGGGAGCGUUCUGUAAGCCUGUGAAGGUGUACUGUGAGGUAUGCUGGAGGUAUCAGAAGUGCGAAUGCUGACAUAAGUAACGAUAAAGCGGGUGAAAAGCCCGCUCGCCGGAAGACCAAGGGUUCCUGUCCAACGUUAAUCGGGGCAGGGUGAGUCGACCCCUAAGGCGAGGCCGAAAGGCGUAGUCGAUGGGAAACAGGUUAAUAUUCCUGUACUUGGUGUUACUGCGAAGGGGGGACGGAGAAGGCUAUGUUGGCCGGGCGACGGUUGUCCCGGUUUAAGCGUGUAGGCUGGUUUUCCAGGCAAAUCCGGAAAAUCAAGGCUGAGGCGUGAUGACGAGGCACUACGGUGCUGAAGCAACAAAUGCCCUGCUUCCAGGAAAAGCCUCUAAGCAUCAGGUAACAUCAAAUCGUACCCCAAACCGACACAGGUGGUCAGGUAGAGAAUACCAAGGCGCUUGAGAGAACUCGGGUGAAGGAACUAGGCAAAAUGGUGCCGUAACUUCGGGAGAAGGCACGCUGAUAUGUAGGUGAAGUCCCUCGCGGAUGGAGCUGAAAUCAGUCGAAGAUACCAGCUGGCUGCAACUGUUUAUUAAAAACACAGCACUGUGCAAACACGAAAGUGGACGUAUACGGUGUGACGCCUGCCCGGUGCCGGAAGGUUAAUUGAUGGGGUUAGCGCAAGCGAAGCUCUUGAUCGAAGCCCCGGUAAACGGCGGCCGUAACUAUAACGGUCCUAAGGUAGCGAAAUUCCUUGUCGGGUAAGUUCCGACCUGCACGAAUGGCGUAAUGAUGGCCAGGCUGUCUCCACCCGAGACUCAGUGAAAUUGAACUCGCUGUGAAGAUGCAGUGUACCCGCGGCAAGACGGAAAGACCCCGUGAACCUUUACUAUAGCUUGACACUGAACAUUGAGCCUUGAUGUGUAGGAUAGGUGGGAGGCUUUGAAGUGUGGACGCCAGUCUGCAUGGAGCCGACCUUGAAAUACCACCCUUUAAUGUUUGAUGUUCUAACGUUGACCCGUAAUCCGGGUUGCGGACAGUGUCUGGUGGGUAGUUUGACUGGGGCGGUCUCCUCCUAAAGAGUAACGGAGGAGCACGAAGGUUGGCUAAUCCUGGUCGGACAUCAGGAGGUUAGUGCAAUGGCAUAAGCCAGCUUGACUGCGAGCGUGACGGCGCGAGCAGGUGCGAAAGCAGGUCAUAGUGAUCCGGUGGUUCUGAAUGGAAGGGCCAUCGCUCAACGGAUAAAAGGUACUCCGGGGAUAACAGGCUGAUACCGCCCAAGAGUUCAUAUCGACGGCGGUGUUUGGCACCUCGAUGUCGGCUCAUCACAUCCUGGGGCUGAAGUAGGUCCCAAGGGUAUGGCUGUUCGCCAUUUAAAGUGGUACGCGAGCUGGGUUUAGAACGUCGUGAGACAGUUCGGUCCCUAUCUGCCGUGGGCGCUGGAGAAUUGAGGGGGGCUGCUCCUAGUACGAGAGGACCGGAGUGGACGCAUCACUGGUGUUCGGGUUGUCAUGCCAAUGGCACUGCCCGGUAGCUAAAUGCGGAAGAGAUAAGUGCUGAAAGCAUCUAAGCACGAAACUUGCCCCGAGAUGAGUUCUCCCUGACUCCUUGAGAGUCCUGAAGGAACGUUGAAGACGACGACGUUGAUAGGCCGGGUGUGUAAGCGCAGCGAUGCGUUGAGCUAACCGGUACUAAUGAACCGUGAGGCUUAACCUU
rnacentral:rRNA from 1 species